GAAAAACCUUUUAUAUACCCAAAUGAAAGUAUGAGUUAUCUCUUGCAAGUGGACAGCCGAGCUUGAGAAAGAUUGGGAUUUCUACAGGAAGAUGUCAAGAUUGAAUCCUCUAGAUAAGCAUAAUUAGUCAUUUUCAUGAUGAAAUUGAGACAGUUUUAAUCCAUGUCCUUCGGAUAUACUUGACUAAUAAUUGCCAAUGUCUCUGUUUUUUUCUCUGCCUCUUCCCUGUUUAAUCUUUUGUAAUUGGCCAUCUGCUUUGUUCUCCUCUGCCUCUUGUAAAUAUGCCCUGUUUCGAAUUAUUCAGUUUUGGUCAUU
rnacentral:misc_RNA from 1 species